AUUAAAUAAAAAUAUAAUUUAGAAGCUAUUUUGCAUUAAAACAUCUGUUUAAAAUGUAAUUAAGUGUUUUUAUUAUUUAUAAUAGUUGGUAAAACACAUGGAGCUGUUGACCAUGCAAGUGUACAUCAUUUUUAACAUAGAUUAGAUAUAGUUUAUUUAUUUGAUAAACAUUUAGAUAGUUAUCCACCUAAUAAAAAAAAAUUAAAACUGCCUACCUAAAUGUUGUUUGACUUUUUAGUUCAAUUUAGUACCAAUUAAUAUUAAAACCAAUUUUAUCUACAUGGCACCAAAAAUGAGAUAAAGAGAAA